UUGUAUUCACUGAAACAAUAUCCCGUCUUAUCUGUGAUUGGUUUACUCUGCGCCUCUUAGUCCCACCUUCAUAUUUGGAUUCAAGCCCCACGAUUCCAGAUUUCUCAUUGAGAGAG